GCUGGGCGUGGUGGCUCACACCUGUAAUCCCAACACUUGGGAGGCUGAGGCAGGUGGAUCACCUGAGGACAGGAGCUCUAGACCAGCCUGACCAACAUGGAGAAAGCCUGUCUCUA
ensembl:misc_RNA Metazoa_SRP Metazoan signal recognition particle RNA